AUUGAACGCUGGCGGCAGGCUUAACACAUGCAAGUCGAGCGGAGAUGAGGUGCUUGCACCUUAUCUUAGCGGCGGACGGGUGAGUAAUGCUUAGGAAUCUGCCUAUUAGUGGGGGACAACAUUCCGAAAGGAAUGCUAAUACCGCAUACGCCCUACGGGGGAAAGCAGGGGAUCUUCGGACCUGGCGCUAAUAGAUGAGCCUAAGUCGGAUUAGCUAGUUGGUGGGGUAAAGGCCUACCAAGGCGACGAUCUGUAGCGGGUCUGAGAGGAUGAUCCGCCACACUGGGACUGAGACACGGCCCAGACUCCUACGGGAGGCAGCAGUGGGGAAUAUUGGACAAUGGGCGGAAGCCUGAUCCAGCCAUGCCGCGUGUGUGAAGAAGGCCUUUUGGUUGUAAAGCACUCUAAGCGAGGAGGAGGCUACCUGGAUUAAUACUCUAGGAUAGUGGACGUUACUCGCAGAAUAAGCACCGGCUAACUCUGUGCCAGCAGCCGCGGUAACAC
rnacentral:rRNA from 1 species